rnacentral:rRNA from 1 species
AACGCGAAGAACCUUACCUACUCUUGACAUCCUGCGAAUCUGACUGAGAGGUUGGAGUGCCGAAAGGAACGCAGAGACAGGUGCUGCAUGGCUGUCGUCAGCUCGUGUUGUGAGAUGUUGGGUUAAGUCCCGUAACGAGCGCAACCCUUGCCCUUAGUUGCUAGCGAGUAAAGUCGAGCCCUCUAAGGGGACUGCUGGUGAUGAACCGGAGGAAGGCGGGGACGACGUCAAGUCAUCAUGGCCUUUAUGAGUAGGGCUACACGCGUGCUACAAUGGGGCGUACAGAGGGAAGCGAAACUGCGAAGUGGAGCGAAUCUCUAAAAGCGCCUCGUAGUCCAGAUUGGAGUCUGCAACUCGACUCCAUGAAGUUGGAAUCGCUAGUAAUCGCGGAUCAGCAUUGCCGCGGUGAAUACGUUCCCGGGCCUUGUACACACCGCUACAGU